rnacentral:rRNA from 1 species
GACGAACGCUGGCGGCGUGCUUAACACAUGCAAGUCGAACGAUGAAGCCCAGCUUGCUGGGUGGAUUAGUGGCGAACGGGUGAGUAACACGUGGGUGAUCUGCCCUGCACUCUGGGAUAAGCCUGGGAAACUGGGUCUAAUACCGGAUAUGACCUCGGGAUGCAUGUUCUGGGGUGGAAAGUUUUUCGGUGCAGGAUGAGCCCGCGGCCUAUCAGCUUGUUGGUGGGGUAAUGGCCUACCAAGGCGACGACGGGUAGCCGGCCUGAGAGGGCGACCGGCCACACUGGGACUGAGACACGGCCCAGACUCCUACGGGAGGCAGCAGUGGGGAAUAUUGCACAAUGGGCGCAAGCCUGAUGCAGCGACGCCGCGUGAGGGAUGACGGCCUUCGGGUUGUAAACCUCUUUCACCCAUGACGAAGCGCAAGUGACGGUAGUGGGAGAAGAAGCACCGGCCAACUACGUGCCAGCCGCCGCCGUAAAAC